UCCGGUUUGACACCGGCAGUCUCGUUAGAGUCCCCGACAUGACUCGCUGGCAACUAACGAUAGGGGUUUCGCUCGUUAAGGGACUUAACCCGACACUUCACAGCACGAGCUGACGACAGCCAUGCAGCACCUGUGCACGUUUCACCCGAAGGCAGAUUACUCCUGUUUCCAAGAGACCAUCCGUGCAUGUCAAACCCAGGUAAGGUUCUUCGCGUUGCUUCGAAUUAAUCCACAUACUCCACCGCUUGUGUGAGCCCCCGUCAAUUCCUUUGAGUUUUAGCCUUGCGGCCGUACUCCCCAGGCGGCGCACUUACCACUUUUGCUUCGGCACAAUCGACGUGAGAGUCUCUUAUACCUAGUGCGCAUCGUUUACGGCGUGGACUAC
rnacentral:misc_RNA from 1 species